UUGCAUAGUUCGUUGAUAAGCUUUCUUCACCGAGAAAAAACCAGAGCUUCGUCUCCACUCUCCAUUUUCGUUGUUCCAUGAAAUGUUGCAGACGCACUCUUCAAUCCCGCUUAAAACCCUAACGGACCAUUCCCCUCCGCCCUUCACAUUCUUCCCCUCACACCUCCUUCCUUCACUCUCCUCCCACCCUCCCAAAUCUUCCCGCUUCCUCCUCCGCUGCUCCGCCGUCGACUCCGGAACUCUCCCCAAAUCCGCCAUUCAAAGGAUUGCGGAUAAGCUUCGUAGCCUCGGGUUCUCAGAGGAAGAACCGGAAACAGUAUCCGAGCAUAAUACAGCAGUUGGCCCUGGAGAAAUCUUCGUUCCGUUGCCGAAUCAGCUACCCAAGUACCGGGUUGGGCACACGAUUGAUUCAAGCUGGAGCACGCCGGAGAAUCCUGUUCCGGAGCCGGGCACGGGGAUUGCGAUUAAGAGGUUUCAUGGAUUGAGGAAUGAGGUGGAGAAGCAGAAGGAGAAGGAGGGGAAGGUGAGGAAGAAGAGAGAGGAGAGAGCGCCGACAUUGGCGGAGCUGAGCUUGCCUGAGGAGGAAUUGAGGAGGCUCGGGGAAAUUGGGAUUAGGUUGAAGCGUAAACUCAAGAUUGGGAAGGCUGGGAUCACGGAGGGGAUUAUAAACUCAAUACACGAGCAAUGGAGGCGGUAUGAGGUUGUGAAGAUAGUGUGUGAAGAUUUGUGUAGGUUGAACAUGAAGCGGACCCAUGAUUUAUUGGAGAGAAAAACUGGAGGAAUAGUUAUAUGGAGAUCUGGAAGUAAAAUAAUAUUAUAUCGGGGGGCCAGUUAUAUAUAUCCUUACUUCUCUCAUGAAAGUUUGAAAGAUGAAGCAUCUCAAGUUGCUUUACUGGGUUCAAAUAUUGAUGAUGGAGAGAAUAGUGAAACAGAGAGCACUUCGUCUAGCAUAAAUGGUGAAAAAUCAGCUGGACCAACUUCAUCUAGUAAAAUGGCUGGUCCGACCCUGAUUCAAGGUGUUGGUGCACCAAAUAGAGUGAGAUUUCAACUUCCAGGUGAGGAAGAACUUGCAGAAGAUGCUGAGAGUUUGCUAGAAGGACUAGGUCCGCGUUUUUCGGAUUGGUGGGGAUACGAUCCUCUACCUAUUGAUGCGGAUCUUCUUCCUGCUGUUGUUCCCGGAUAUCGGAAACCCUUCCGCCUUCUCCCAUAUGGAGUGAAGCCUAAGCUAACUAACGAUGAAAUGACCUCAUUAAGGAGACUUUCUAGGCCGUUGCCAUGUCAUUUUGCAUUGGGUAGAAAUAGGAACCUUCAAGGACUUGCUGCUUCCAUUAUCAAGCUAUGGGAAAAAUGUGAGAUAGCGAAAAUCGCAGUUAAAAGAGGGGUACAGAAUACAAAUAGUCAGUUGAUGGCUGAAGAGUUACAGUUGCUAACUGGAGGAACUUUGCUUUCCCGGGACAGGGAAUUCAUUGUCUUAUACAGGGGAAAGGAUUUUCUGCCAUUUGCCGUAUCUUCCGCAAUUGAACAGCAACGGUACAUUCGAUUACAUAAGAUGAAACAGAUGGAUAAUGAACCAACUACAACAAUGCAAGAAGAGAAACUUGAGAUGAAUGAAAGUGGUCCCACAAAUGAAAGUCAAAGCAUCACGGAGUGGAAAAGGGCUGUCUCUGAACAGAAAAAGCUGAUGUCAUCUGAGGCAUCUAUGAGAAAGACUAGCAUCAAGUUGUCCAUUGCAUUAGAAAAAAAAGUGAAAGCAGAGAAACUUUUAGCAAAGCUGGAGGAAGAAGAGCUACUCCAACAACCUGAAAUAGACAAAGAGGGAAUAGCUGUGGAGGAAAGGUAUAUGCUGAAGAAGGUUGGAUUGAGAAUGAAGCCUUUCCUACUUCUUGGUAGAAGAGGUGUUUUUGAUGGAACAGUUGAAAACAUGCAUCUACACUGGAAGUAUAGGGAACUUGUGAAGAUAAUUACUAAUGAAAGAAGUUUUAAAACCGUUCAUGAUAUAGCACGAACCUUAGAGGCAGAAAGUGGUGGAAUUUUAGUAGCAGUUGAGAGAGUGAACAGGAGUUAUGCUAUCAUUAUAUACCGUGGGAAGAAUUACAAACGGCCUUCACGCUUAAGGCCUGAGACACUCUUGAAUAAAAAAGAGGCAUUGAAGCGAUCUAUAGAGGCACAACGUCGAAAGUCAUUGAAACUUCAUGUUCUAAAGCUUACACAAAACGUAGAAGAGUUGAAACUUAAAUUGGGAAAAGAAGGGACAAACGGGAUACAAACAUCUGGAAGUUUGAAGUUAGAUGCAGACACUGAUCCUGCCGGCCUCUCUCAUUCAGAAGAUAGUGCUUGCCUGGGGGACAAUGAAGUGGCCAUGGUCGAAGGGGGUCAAGAUCAUGUAACCCCUACGAGUGGAAAUUAUUGUUUGGACACUUCAAUAAACAGUCUACAAGCCGUUCAAAGGGAUAAUGAUGUCUUUUUAACAUAUGCUGGCGAUCAGUCUAAUGCCGAACUCAAAUCUUCAUCUGAACCAGCUUGGCUCGGAAACCGUGCAAAGGUGUCCAAGGAUUCAAAUGCUGAAUUUGGAAGUGUAGAACCUCUAUCAGAUGCUGAUUGUUUGUCAGGAGAUAGUAAUUCCGGAACUUCAGAUGUCACACAUCUUGUUGCUUUGAAUGAGGCUAUGAAGCCAUAUGUUGGAUUAGAAGAGGAAGAACCAGCACUAUUACUUCCCUCAACGAUGGUAAACCAACCAGGUCAUAUUCCUGCCGGAGCUCUUCAACUCUCCAACAAAGAGAGACUUCUUCUGCGAAGGCAAGCCCUCAAGAUGAAAAAACGUCCUGUGCUUGCUGUAGGCCAGAGCAACAUAAUUACAGGAGUGGCAAAAGCAAUCAAGCAACAUUUUAAGAAGCAUUCUCUUGCCAUAGUAAAUGUCAAAGGCAGAGCCAAAGGAACAUCAGUCCAGGAGAUUGUUUUCAAGCUGGAGCAAGCAACCGGUGCAGUUUUAGUCUCUCAGGAGCCGAGCAAAGUCAUUCUUUACAGGGGUUGGGAGGAUGCAGAUAAACCCAAAGAUGGAAAACAGAUAGCCACCAAGAAGCAUGAAGCUCAACUAUGUCCUGAACUCUUGGCAGCUAUCAGGGUUGAAUGUGGGUUGCAGUGAACUGAAAGGAAAGGUCAGUUUCUCCAAGUGAAGAUCUAGCUUGUACCUCAGGUGCCCAGAGUAGACAAUUAUCUAUACCUCCAGUAUUCAACUGUGUUUUCUCGCUCACUGUCGGUGUUGGCGCUCGUUGGUAGCUGGUGGGUUUACUUUGCUGCUAUCAUUUUAGCAGGUAAAUUCUUGAUACCCUCUUCUCCCUUGGAGCCACCGGUGACAUUUGAGUGGUAAUAAUGUGCCAUGGCUCAAUCUUAAUGCCUAUGUAGAUUGAUAACUGAUCUUGAAUGGCAUUAGAUAAUCUUAUGAUCUAAAAAUUCAAUUCUCGUUUGUUGCAUGGAGGCGAGAGCCAAAAAAAAAAAAAGAAAAAGAAAUUCAACUA